ensembl:snRNA
GUAACAAUGAAAUGAGAAAAGGUUAGCACUCACCUUGACAAGAAUGGAAGUGAACCUUGCUCCUGACAGAACAUAUAAGGUAUUGCCACCUACUUCGUAUUAGCUAACAAGUUUU